AACGAGAGGGACCAAUGAAUGUCACUCCCAC
rnacentral:piRNA from 1 species